rnacentral:rRNA from 1 species
UACGUAGGGGGCUAGCGUUGUCCGGAUUUAUUGGGCGUAAAGAGCGUGUAGGCGGCCAGGUAGGUCUGCUGUGAAAACUCGAGGCUCAACCUCGAGACGUCGGCGGAAACCAUCUGGCUAGAGUCCGGAAGAGGAGAGUGGAAUUCCUGGUGUAGCGGUGAAAUGCGCAGAUAUCAGGAGGAACACCGGUGGCGAAGGCGGAUCUCUGGGCCUUACCUGACGCUCAGGUGCGAAAGCUAGGGGAGCGAACAGG